UGAAUUUCACUUCUCAGUAUGUUUUGUCCCUUUGAACUGCACUAUUAAAAAUGUAGAGAAAUUCCUUUCUACCUGUAGUUCAUACAGCCAUAAAAUUGAAUUUCUUGGAAGAGAUCCUAGAUGAUACUAUCUACACAAAUGGAGGGAUCUGGAAUAUGAAUAUACCUUUUGAAUUUGGAGAAAUUUCAGUCCACACACAGGCUCACAAAUCCAAGCUGGUGCACAGAGAUCGAUUUCCAAUGGCAAGGGGAACCCAGGAAUAAGUCUUUAGUUUAGAGAUGAAGAUAUUGGCGAUAAAUUUUCUGCAUCAAAAGACACUCAAAGAAUUAUUGCCCCGAAGAGAGCUUCCCGAAAUUUUUCACGUAACUCUCAGGCCACAGGGAACCUAGCCAGUAGGGUAGAUUGAAGUUGAAGGUGUGGCUUUGGCUACCAAUUCCCUUCUAUGUGUCAUCACACUGCUUCAUUCUUGAUCUUACUAAAGUUUACUUCAGUAUUCAUCAAAAACAAAUGCUAUCAAAGAUGGUUUCUGGAGCUCUUGGGACAGAGGAACGUGAUGUCAAUGGGAUACUUGCAAACACCAACUGAUCUAGUCACUAAUUUUGGUCACAUUCUCAUUUUGAUCACAUGGCAAUCACUGAGUGCUAACGCUCAGGGAUUCAUGGCCAAAAUACUUGUGGCUUUCUUCUGGGCAUCUGAUUCUCUUCAGCAUUCACUUACCAGCUUGGGGACUGAUUGUUCCCACGCAGUAUGGAAAUGGGGAGUAAUGAACACAGCCUAGCACAUAAAAUUUGAAACGCACAAGUCUCUUGAAAAUUUGAUUAAAGUACAUGUAACUGUUUGUGUAUUGUCCUCCCCAUAUUACUCAGGGAACUUCACCUUUAUCUUGGUGUCUGACAAUGUUUAGCAAUUGAAAGAUUUGAUCGGUGUAUAUGAUCAAGAGCAUGUGUCAUCCCCUUCGUCAAUGAUUUGGUUUUGGGUACCUAUUGACCUUAAUGAUCUCUUAGGGAAGUAACUUUCCAUGUGGUGGGAAUGUCAGCAUGGAAGUGAAAGUUGCAAGAGUGAUUCUGCUAAGUGGCAUCAUACAUUAGACUUCUUAAACAGUCUCCUUAAAAUUAACAUGAUUGUAUGAACUGAAGUGAUACAGUUGCCCACACAUCUUGCUCUAUCCUUUUUAGAGAAGACAGUCUUCAAAUUCAAGCUAGGUCUACCCUUAUUCCUCUCAAGAGCGCUGUGCCCUUGUGUCCUCUGCACUUGCAUGUGAGGAUUCAAAUUCUGAGGCAGUGUUGGCAGCCCAGGUAAGCCAUGGUGCAGGUGAAAUUACAUUAUUGACAGUUGUGUCCUGCCUGUGUCUGGGUCAAUGAUGACAACUGAAAGUCAAGAACAGAAUGAUGACAUAAAAAUCAUGCACAAUACAUUACCCUGAGGCCCAACCAGGGAGCCAGGGUUACAAGCACUACUUAGUCUCUUUGAGGACCACUUGCAGGACUCAUCUGAGCUGCUCUGAUGCCCUUGUUCUCUUUUCCCUCUGUGGGAAUCUGGACAAUCUUAGUGCAACUGUGCUGGCAAACACUGCCUGCCAACUAGCACCUACUCUCAUAAUCUGCUUGUGUGCAAGUCUGCAACACCAACCCUGUCAUCAUUACCCUCUCUGCUCUGAUGUCUUGCAGUCACCAGGCAUCAUCCCAGCGGCCCAGUGGAUCAGUAUUCCCAGAGAGGACAGUCUUCAAGUUCAAGCUACGUCUCCCCUUAUUCCACACAAGAGCGCUGUGCCCUUUUAUCCUCUGCACUUGCAAGUGAGGAUUCAAAUUCUGAGGCACGGUUGGCAGCCCAGGUAAGCCAUGGUGCAGGUGAAAUUACAUUAUUGACAGUUGUGUCCUGCCUGUGUCUAGGUCAAUGAUGACAACAGAAAGUCAAGAACAGAAUGAUGACAUAAAAAUCAUGCUCAAUAGGAUUACGCUGAGGCCCAACCAGGGAGCCAGGUUUACAAGCACUACUUUGUCUCUUUGAGGACCACUUGCGGGACUCAUCUGAGCUGCUCUGAUGCC
rnacentral:sRNA from 1 species